UACGUAGGGGGCGAGCGUUAUCCGGAUUCAUUGGGCGUAAAGCGCGCGUAGGCGGCCGCCUAAGCGGAACCUCUAACCCCGGGGCUCAACCUCGGGCCGGGUUCCGGACUGGGCGGCUCGAGUGCGGUAGAGGAGAGCGGAAUUCCCGGUGUAGCGGUGGAAUGCGCAGAUAUCGGGAAGAACACCGAUGGCGAAGGCAACUCUCUGGGCCGUCACUGACGCUGAGGCGCGAAAGCUGGGGGAGCGAACAGG
rnacentral:rRNA from 1 species